UGGUAUUACUUUUCUUCUAUAUAUAUUAGUUCCAGCUCAUGUAUCUAUAUAUGCAGUAUAAUAUCUACAUUUAUAUCCUUCACAUUUUACUUUAAUUAAAAUAUGUAUUUCUUCAUGACUCACAUACUUUCUUUUAUUAUAUUUAUAGUAUUAAUUCUUUCUCUUUUUAUCUUAAUUGUUAUUGUAUUAACUGUUAUUUCUAAUUCUGAUUCUG
rnacentral:lncRNA from 1 species